ACCUCGCCUUGGGAAUUGUCAUCAUUCCUCUUUGGGGGGAGUGAAAGGGGUGAAAUGUUUUUUCCUUUUAAGGAAAUAUAUUUGGUUUCUCCAAUCAUGACGGAUAUAGAGGAGGAAAGAUGUAGUAAUAACCACCGUCUGCAGCAGGGAGGAAAUGGGAAAUUAGCCCGGAUCAGCACAACUCCCAAGGCCUCUCAGUUAUACAUUUAUACACUAUAUUGACUUUGAUAUUCAUUUUAUCAGGGGCUUCACUGUAUCACUGAAGUGCUCUCAAUUGUUUCAGUAAAAACUUGUUGAAACCCCCAAACAUUUUCUCUAGGCUCGUAGACCUCUUCGGUGUGGUAGGGUUACAUGAUCUUUUCUGAGCCUUUGGCCACGUUCAAUGCCGUGAAGUUUCCAGUGGUCAGAAAAUCGGAAAAACCAUAACGCCCCUACCGCACUGAUGCUUGCUGUUUGAGUGACUUUGGACUUUGGCUGAAGGCAGAAGAGACCGAACCUGUCCCAUUACAGUUGGUGAUCUGUUAGUAGAAGCAUCGUGUAUUUGCAGUGCAAGGCUUACUGUUUGUAAAAUCCAAAUAAUGAGCUUCCAGCCGCAACUUCACAGG